GUAGGUGAACCUGCGGAGGGAUCAUUAUAAGUUCACCCAGGCUUGUACAGCUGGGGACUGACAACCCUUUGAUUUCCGACUCUGUUGCCUCCGGGGCGACCCUGCCUUCGGGCGGGGGCUCCGGGUGGACACUUCAAACUCUUGCGUAACUUUGCAGUCUGAGUAAACUUAAUUAAUAAAUUAAAACUUUUAACAACGGAUCUCUUGGUUCUGGCAUCGAUGAAGAACGCAGCAUCUGACUGACUCAAUC
rnacentral:misc_RNA from 1 species